rnacentral:rRNA from 1 species
UACGUAGGGGGCGAGCGUUGUCCGGAAUCACUGGGCGUAAAGGGCGCGUAGGCGGCCUGAUAAGUAGGGGGUGAAAUCCUGUGGCUUAACUGCAGGGCUGCCUCCUAGACUGUUAGGCUCGAGCACGGUAGAGGCAGAUGGAAUUCCCGGUGUAGCGGUGGAAUGCGUAGAGAUCGGGAAGAACAUCGGUGGCGAAGGCGGUCUGCUGGGCCGUUGCUGACGCUGAGGCGCGACAGCGUGGGGAGCAAACAGG